rnacentral:rRNA from 1 species
UACGUAGGGUGCAAGCGUUAAUCGGAAUUACUGGGCGUAAAGCGUGCGCAGGCGGUUUUGUAAGUCUGUCGUGAAAGCCCCGGGCUCAACCUGGGAAUUGCGAUGGAGACUGCAAGGCUUGAAUCUGGCAGAGGGGGGUAGAAUUCCACGUGUAGCAGUGAAAUGCGUAGAGAUGUGGAGGAACACCGAUGGCGAAGGCAGCCCCCUAGGUCAAGAUUGACGCUCAUGCACGAAAGCGUGGGGAGCAAACAGG